UGCUGCGGGCCACUGGGCGCUGGCUGCUCCUGCUCACCUCUCCGGGUGCGCUCAGCUCCAGCCCUGCUCCAGCCCAGCUCCAGCCCAACUCCAGCUCAGCUCCAGUCCAGUUCCAGUCAGCUCCAGCCCGGCUCCUGUUCUCCAGCACACGCGCCUCGCCCUCGUCUCGACCCUCGACUUUCGGUCCCUCUGUCGCUCAGUGUCCCGCACCCCGCGACCUCGCGCCCUCCCAAGUCCCUGUGCCCGCUCUUCUAUUCCCACAGCCCCGCCACAGCCCUCUGCCCUUGCUCUCUAGCUCUCUGUCUGCCAGUAGGUCUGUCUGUCUGUCUGCCUCCCCACCCUCCUUUUUCUUCCUCUGUCCCGCUCUGCUGGCUUGUUCGCCAGCUCGACUUGGCGGAGCAGCCUCGAAGGAAAAUCCCAGAAACCUUUGCAGAAAGCUUACAAUGAAAUUUAAGAAGUUCUACUAUUUCGGCGCCAUUUUCGAGUGGAGUGAGAGCGCUUCCAGUUUAUGAAACUCCACCUUGGAAAAGUUUGGCUCGAAGCGAAUGACCCUCUCCAGAAGGGACCAGACGCGUCUUUGUGUUCUCCUUUCGGUGACCAUCGAUGUUUUUUUUUCUCUCCAUUCCGUGUCCAUGUGAAAAUGAUUUGUAAUAUAGCCAAGACAAGACGGGAUUUAGAGACUCGUUCCAACUUAAGGAGUGGAGCUAUUAUUAUUAAUGGCUUUACUUAUCAUGACCUUAUGGCUUUAUUAUCAGUGCAUUUGUUAGCGCUGGAUCACAAUCUGUUGUGUUAGGAAUUUUGUACUUAGUUUAAUUACAUACUCUGUAUAUUUAACUAAUUAAUUAGUUAAUUAAUACGACCCAGCAUUCAUUGUACUAGUUUUGAAAAUCUGACAUAAUUUUAAAUGAAAAUACAGGAAAUAUGGUGACAUUAAAUCUUUGUUUAUGUAUAUAGAACGUAUUUUUACCUUCAAAGGCACUAUAGUUUAUGGUCUUAAUUAUUAGGUUUGUGGUCAAGGAUUGAAGGAUUUUUUUUGUUUGUGCUUUCUUGAAUGUUUUGUUUAAACAAAAGGAAAUGAAUGAAUGUAACCUAUUGCUCCGGUGUCCAUUUUGAAAAUCAGAGCAUGGUCAUGCACAGUGUCGGCCAUUUCAAGACAUGAGUUUCUGUGGAGUUGCUUAAGAAGGAGCCAUUUGACAUCAAGUACUUAACGUUCUUGAUCUGUGAUCACUGAUAAAUGUAAAUGAUUUAUAAAUUAGUUUGGGUAACCAGCAAUGUAUGAAGACAUCUAGGGGUUUCAUCUAGAACAUUCUCAUGCUUUGUCCUUAUAACUAAUGGCAGACAAGGUGUUUACUGUUAGAAUGCAAGAAACUACUAGCCAUGAGUUAAAACCAACUGGCCACCCAGAGGGUUUUUUUUAAUCAAAAGUUCCUUACAUUGAUUUCCAAUAAAUGACCCAAAACUGGAGACAAUAAAUGACACUUAUACAAUGCAGCAGGAAGUUUCACCAAGACUUUGGAGCUGGCAAGAGUGAUCCAGAUGUUACCAAAUUGUCUCAAUUUAAUUAAUCUCACUUUUCGUCUACUUUCUGAGGUAAGAGUCUCCCCACCCCUCUAUUUGCCCUGCUUUCCACCAAUACACUUUCCCAAUAUUCAUGGUGAGGGGGUGUGAAGCCACAUACUGCCCCUCGCCAGCAGAUCCUGGAAAUCGGACAAAAGUAUAAGAAGAACUGGCUUAUAAAAAGUCCCUCAACUUAGAGUGAUAAGUCCUAAGAAGCUUACAUUGUACUUAAUUUUCCCCUGGGGGCAGGGCAAGGAGAGGCUCUCUUCUCCUCACAGAGACUUUCUUCAUUCACAGGUACCCGAGCGACCCCCACCCUCGUUUACUCCGAAGGGAUGCAGCAGCAAUUCAUGUUUUGGAGUAUUGUAAAGGUUCAAAACAUGAAGCGCUGCCACACCCCUUCGCGGGGAACUUAGAAGGUGGGGGCCUGCAGAACAGACCCGUGUGGGUUCUCCUAAAAGCCCCCAAGCAGGUAGGUGGGAGGGUAGAGGCUUGUCUGUUUCUUUAGUUCAUUCUGGACAGGGCCUUAGUCUAGUAAGGGCCACUCUCCACUGUUCAAGGACCCGGGAGGGGGUGACUGCUAAGCAAGCUGGCCAUGCACUUGGAGGGGGGACAAGGUACCCUGCAGUCAGCCCACUACACUCAGUCGUGCCCUAGCAGCGUGAACAGUACUGUGGUAUUUGGUGUCUGGAGUAUUGUUUCCGCUGCCCGGGUAAGUCUGGGACUAACGCCUGGGCACACCCACCAGGUAAGUUACAGUCCAUCGCCUGCAGCGUAGGCCCCAAUGCGAGCAAGACUCCAGAACAGCUCCAGACUAGAGCUUUUGUGUUUGUCUUCCGUGAAACAUUUGCCGACCUGUGAAUAUGUGACUGGGUGUGACAGACCCUUUGUUGUUAGCACCUCAUUGCCUGCCCAGGUAAAACUGAACAGACCUGAAAGAAAGCACUUCCCCAUCACCUAGUGAAAUACCAACCACAGGACAGCAAUGAAGAAAGUUUGUCUUCAGUCCUCAACAACAAGAUGGGGAGGGGGUUCCCGAAAAGGAAUAAGAAGGGGUCCCAAGGUGGUCAGAAGGGUGACUUGAAGCAAUCCCCAUUUCUCCGUGCAGUUCGUCCUGAAGGAGCUUAGGUGCUGUAUAAAAAAGGACUUUAGGGGUGAGGAAAGAUUAAGGGUCCCACAGCUGUGCUAGUGGGGGUAUCUCUGGAUAUCAGGUAUCCAAAAGAAUCACCUAGCCUUGCUGGUGGUGAGCCCCAGGUGACACUGAGGAACAGUGACCUAACAGUGAGGCUCUACAUUUUUAUACCCUCUUUGUCCUCAUUUCCCAAAGUCAUCACACAAUUCUACCCUAACAGCUGGGACUCAAGGGACACCCUUCUCACUGCCUGGAAGCUUAGUAUUGACAGGCUCUAAGAAAAUGGCAAGUAGGACCAGAGGUGUGUGCUGUGACUAAUGAUCGGGGCCCUCUCAUGCCACCUCCAGUCCUUUGAGGAGCCCUUUGAGCCUGCAGUGAGAAAAAGGGGUUCAAGAGUCACCUGGGAAUUGGAGAAGAGUGUUAAUUACCUGAGCAAGGCCUUACUUUUCCUGUGAAAAUCACUUUAUAUUGUCUGGAGCAUGGGAAUGUAAAGGAGUAUUGGAAAACGGGGUGGGGGGAAAUCUCUCUGCUUUGUCAUCUUUAAAAAAAUAAAAUACACAUACACACACCCUUCUGGUCUGUAUGAGCUGCCUUGUAGUGAUCUUCCCCAGGGACUGGGGCCAGGCCCCCAUAAAAUUUACAGUUAGAGGAGGCCUUGAGCGCCUGGGAGUCUAGCUCUAGUCACCAAAUGCCCUUCUCCCAGACUCCCUUGCGCUUGAGCAAUGUGUGGGAGGUGGUUUAGGUUCCUUUGGGCCCCCAAGGACCCCCGGGAUCCCAGGAGCACCAAGAGCCCUAUGGACUUCGGCCAAGCCUUGUCCCCAUCCCCCCCUCAACUUUUUGAAGCCACGCCCCCAGUUUCUGCCCCACCCCGCCCCGUGGCAGGGCCCCUCUGUCCAGGAAUCCCCAGGGCAAAUGGCUAACAGGUUCAGGCAUCCGCGUUCCUAUGCACUGGAUUGGAGGAGGGGCAGUUUGAGACUCCUUACUCUCCCUCACCAGCUUCCCUUCUCCCUUUCCGCUGUUCAACAGGCUUUUCCUUCAAACCAGAGGAAGAGCCCCUGGGUGCAUUGAAGGCGCCCACCCAUCCAGAAGGAUCUGGCCCGCGCCAUCCGGCUUCUUCCAGUGGGUGCCUGCAGGACUCAGGGAACACUACAUCAACAAUCUUGGGGAUGUGGACACAGAAGACUCCUCUUUCAAGAAAGUACAAUCAUCUUCCAGACACUAAUUUAUAUGCAUUUUACCACACUAGAUAUUGACAACCACCCAGCUGGGGGUUAAGAUAUAAUCAAUCACUAGUGUAAUAUUAUAUGUCUUUUAAAAAUGUUACUGGAAAGUGUUUUACGGUCUAUAAGUCAAAGAAUUCGGUCCCACCAUGUCAUUCUUCCUGCUGUUCCCCCCAAUCCAGGCUCCUUUGUUCCAACUGGCAUGUUAACUUGUUUUUCCCACCAAAUGGGUCAGUCAGGUGUGGCAAUGUUACUUGGAAAAACUAGAUGCCAAUAACCAGGGCCACAGAAAAAGGCAGUGGUUGCAACUCUAAAGCAUUUACUCGUGCACACAGACAAGGACAAAGUAGAAUCCUAAACAGGAAAACAUUUGGAUGUGCUCCAGUGCUGGGAGACUAAAUAAUUGUAUGUUGCUUUUGAUUCCAUUAACAUGGGCAACUAUCCAAUUAAACAAAAACCCAAUAAGGA